rnacentral:sRNA from 1 species
AGUUGGGUUAUAAACUGCGUGUACAUAGCACCGUUACUUCAUUACCGUGCACCCACUUUUACUUGGUCCUCGCAUAAAGGUAAAAUCUCCCCAACAGUAGAGAAUGGAGGACAAGCUUUUUCUGUCCUGAGUGUGUCCGUUUGGUUUUCCGCCAUUUUAGGAUACAGCGAUGACGUCAGUGAGUCUUCUUUCCUUGUUCAAUAUCUCUGUGUGUCUGUCUGAUCUUCACCUUGUUGGCUUACCGUUUCUAUAUAUAUUCCAUUACUUGUAUUUUGCAUGUAUGUGGUCAAAUUUCAAUGUCUCGUGAUAUGACAUUAUUUGAAUGUUGUUGGUUGAUGGUUACCAGAAGUGUUCUCCUCAUGUAGAAAAAGGAUUCUGCAUGUAUAGUUUUACUUCUUGUAUUUUGGAUGGAGGGGUGUAUGGGGGAUUUUAUUUCGAGAGAGUGGAUAUUAUUUUGCUCCAACGACUAUACAAGUCUCUCUGAAAGCUGAUUAGGUGACUAUAGCAUCGAAAGGGGGUUAAAACCUUUGGACAUUAACACUGAUGAUAGUGCACUGUUAAUCCUAAGUGGGUCUAAAUUUAUCUUGAUUUCUGCAUUUUAUAUCGCAGUCCGGAUAAGAUUACCCCGUUUUUAGUUGUUUGGGUCCUAUCGGGCUGACGAAGAACGACAUGAACGUCGUAUUUCCCUUUUUUUUUUAACUGUAAAAAGGUCGACUUUCAAUAUAUCGAUAUAUCCAUUUAGAAAUAUCAUCAAAAAUCUACAAAGUUUCAGACGAACAUGUAAAUCUAUACCUAUCAAAAAACCUUCUGAAGACAUUUAAAUACCUUUAAAGAAAUAGAAAUGGCUUAACAGAAGGAAUCGGUCCCAUUUCGGAUAUUGCAACCGCCGGAUUAGUGACAACAACAUUGGGGACGUGAUUCCGUGCCUGUUUGAAUAGACAUGGAGAUAAGCGGCCCGAUUUGGGGCCAUUACUAAUCAUAAUUAGACAAUUUGUGGAGGCAUUUUAUUAAAAAGAAGUCGAAAACCCCUCUGAUGAAUUUGACCAUUUCUCUAACCCGUGGACACCUGGACCUGACAUAGCGAAUGUGUUUAUUUGUUCUUUGACGUUCAAUCAACACCUGUUCCCAUGUCUAACUCCUGUUUCUUCGUGUUGUUUACCGAAAGUAAAUUUGAACACAGCGCGACUUAUUGACAGAAAAACGUUUUUAAAUAUACAGUGACAAGAAAGUCAAUAGAAAGAACAUAUAUGAUUGUCCUGCAUGCAUCUAAGUAAUCCUUUUUUAUUUGAUCUAAGCGACUUCCUACAGAAUGUCUACUAUCUGUGAAGUAGAUACAUGAACAAGAUUUAGGAAUUUUUAGGAACUUGUUUUGAUAAUCUUGUUCUUGAACGCCAUCAAACUUGUAUGAUUUCAUAUCUGAAGUCUAGCAGGACAUUAGAAUUAUGAAAGGGGAAAUGGUUUUAUUUCUGAAAAUUUACAUUAUUUUUAUAUUCAUGUAUCAUUCGAUUGUUGUUUCCUCUUCAUUUUAUUUUUUAACACUUUUAAAAACAAAAGUCACUGAACUAAAAAUUGCAAAUAGUACUGAGAUUAUUUUUUUCCGUUAAAAAAAAUUAAAAUUUUAUAUAAGAUUGAACGUUUCUUGUCAAAACAUUAAUUGAUCUUACACAAAAGCUUGAUUAAAUACAAAACUAAUCUCCAAGAGCCUGCUAUCACUGGUGCUAAUAAUCCAGAGGUACUUGCAGCAUUUUAAGAAUAAUUAGACAACUUAGGAUAAGCUAGAGAGCUUGCGACAGCGCCACACUGGGUUCGUGUGGGUGCCCCUAGAUAACAAUAACAAUUGAAUGACCGAAGUAGGAACCAAGAUUCCAUGAAACAAAAACAGACCAUCUCCGUCCAUUGCAGGCCACUAAAUGAAAUAUGUUCCUCGAAUAGGAUACCUUAAUCCUGACAAUUAAUAAACGGUUCGAGAACGGAAAUUCAUUUGAUGCAAACAUCUGUACUGUUAUUCACAUUGUCGAGGGUUAUGUGAUUUUAGCGGAAACAAUUGGUUUGAUCUCUUUUCAUGGAUCUGAACUGAGUUAUAG